GACAAACUGCCUGGGAGCUCCUCAGUGGUGAAACUCCUCCUCCUUCAAUCAGUGGUGAACCAGGUGGAACAAAUCUUCCAGGUAAUCUGAGCGUGCCAGUACCUGGCUCUGUUGUCUUUAGACCGCAGUCAAAGGAGCAUUUAAGGCACCACAAGACCAAGGAAACCAUCUUUGUCAUCAAGGUGACUGUGCAAGACCAAGCCUUCCACAAUACUGUGAAGGACAGCCGGUUUUUCACCUGUUUACUGCUAUCAAGGAAUGUAUUUUAGACGUUCUUUCAACCAGGUCCUCAACCCAACCACAAGCUCCACACUUCACCACAAUGCAGUAGGAUGUGUUCGGCAAACUCUCGCACGGCUCCGUGACCCGCCUCUUUGUGGCAGAUGUAUUUGGCAUGGUUCGCAACUGUUGGGGCAUCCUUGGGUGCUGCGCUCAACCCUGCCAGUUCCAGGCACUCUACAUCAGGCUCAUCGUUUCCUGAUAGACAGAAGUCAGGAAAAAUAUUUUGAGCAAUCAUUCUGUCUUUUGACUGAGUUAUUUUAAAGAGACAUUGAUGUGUUUAAGUCAUUCUAAAGCACGAUUAAAUUAUAAAAGUAA